rnacentral:rRNA from 1 species
GACGAACGCUGGCGGCGUGCCUAAUACAUGCAAGUCGAGCGAAGUCUUUCUGGUUCUUGCACUAGAAAAACUUAGCGGCGAACGGGUGAGUCACACGUAAAGAACCUGCCUCAUAGACUGGGACAACUAUUGGAAACGAUAGCUAAUACCGGAUAACAGCAUUAACUGCAUGGUUGAUGUUUAAAAGUUGGUUUUGCUAACACUAUGAGAUGGCUUUGCGGUGCAUUAGCUAGUUGGUGGGGUAAAGGCCUACCAAGGCGACGAUGCAUAGCCGACCUGAGAGGGUGAUCGGACACACUGGGACUGAGACACGGCCCAGACUCCUACGGGAGGCAGCAGUAGGGAAUCUUCCGCAAUGGGGGAAAGCCUGACGGAGCAACGCCGCGUGAGUGAAGAAGGAUUUCGGUUCGUAAAGCUCUGUUGUUAGGGAAGAAUGAUUGUGUAGUAACGAGACACAGUAGAGACGGUACCUAAACAGAAAGCCACGGCUAACUACGUG